AUGGGGUGCACCAGGGGCGAAACCUUCACAAUGUGCGAAAGCACGAUGAGGGAAUCCCAAGUGCUUGCUCGUAAGAGUAAGCUGUUUUUAUGUCUAAAAAGCAUAGAGAGUAAGGGCUGGGUAAGACGGGUGCCAGCCGCCGCGGUAAUACCUGCAGCUCAAGUGGUGACCGCUAUUAUUGGGCCUAAAACGUUCGUAGCCGGUUUGGUAAAUGCCUGGGUAAAUCGUGUAGCUUAACUAUACGAAUUCCGGGUAGACUGCCAAACUUGAAACCGGGAGAAGCUAGAGGUACUCCUAGGGUAGAGGUGAAAUUCUGUAAUCCUGGGGGGACCACCAGUGGCGAAGGCGUCCGACUAGAACGGGUCUGACGGUGAGGGACGAAGCCCUGGGGCGCAAACCGGAUUAGAUACCCGGGUAGUCCAGGGUGUAAACGCUGCUUGCUUGAUGUUGGUUGGGCUCCGAGCCCAAUCAGUGUCGGAGAGAAGUUGUUAAGCAAGCUGCCUGGGAAGUACGGCCGCAAGACUGAAACUUAAAGGAAUUGGCGGGGGAGCAC
rnacentral:rRNA from 1 species